AGGACGAACGCUGGCGGCGUGCUUAACACAUGCAAGUCGAACGGGGCCUUUCGGGGCCUAGUGGCGAACGGGUGAGUAACACGUGAGCAACCUGCCCUUGGCUCUGGGAUAGCCUCCGGAAACGGGGAUUAAUACCGGAACAUUCACUUCCUUCCGCAUGGUUGGGGGUGGAAAGUUUUUUCGGCCGGGGAGGGCUCGCGGUCUAUCAGCUUGUUGGCGGGUAACGGCCACCAAGGCGACGACGGAUAGCC
rnacentral:rRNA from 1 species